rnacentral:rRNA from 1 species
ACAUGCAGAGAACUUUCCAGAGAUGGAUUGGUGCCUUCGGGAACUCUGACACAGGUGCUGCAUGGCUGUCGUCAGCUCGUGUCGUGAGAUGUUGGGUUAAGUCCGUAACGAGCGCAACCCUUGUCCUUAGUUACCAGCACGUUAUGGUGGGCACUCUAAGGAGACUGCCGGUGACAAACCGGAGGAAGGUGGGGGAUGACGUCAAGUCAUCAUGGCCCUUACGGCCUGGGCUACACACGUGCUACAAUGGUCGGUACAAAGGGUUGCCAAGCCGCGAGGUGGAGCUAAUCCCAUAAAACCGAUCGUAGUCCGGAUCGCAGUCUGCAACUCGACUGCGUGAAGUCGGAAUCGCUAGUAAUCGUGAAUCAGAAUGUCACGGUGAAUACGUUCCCGGGCCUU